UACGUAGGGGGCUAGCGUUGUCCGGAUUUAUUGGGCGUAAAGCGCGUGUAGGCGGCCAGGAAGGUCCGCUGUGAAAACUCGAGGCUCAACCUCGAGAUGUCGGCGGAAACCCUCUGGCUAGAGUCCGGAAGAGGAGAGUGGAAUUCCCGGUGUAGCGGUGAAAUGCGCAGAUAUCGGGAAGAACACCCGUGGCGAAGGCGGUUCUCUGGGACGGUACUGACGCUGAGACGCGAAAGCGUGGGGAGCGAACAGG
rnacentral:rRNA from 1 species